rnacentral:rRNA from 1 species
CAAGGAAUUUUCCGCAAUGGGCGCAAGCCUGACGGAGCAACGCCGCGUGCCGGACGACGGCCUUCGGGUUGUAAACGGCUUUUGUCGGGGAAGAUGAUGACGGUACCCGACGAAUAAGCCCCGGCUAACUCCGUGCCAGCAGCCGCGGUAAGACGGAGGGGGCAAGCGUUGUCCGGAAUCACUGGGCGUAAAGGGUGCGUAGGCGGUGCGGAGCGUCAGCACUGAAAGCUGUCGGCUUAACCGGGAGAGGCGUGGUGAUACGUCCGCACUGGAGGCAGAGAGAGGUAUGCGGAAUUCCGGGUGUAGUGGUGAAAUGCGUAGAGCUCCGGAGGAACGCCGGUGGCGCAAGCGGCAUACUGGCUCUGACCUGACGCUGAGGCACGAAAGCGUGGGGAGCGAACCGGAUUAGAUACCCCCGUAGUCC